UCUGACACAGUGAUGACAGCAUAGUUCAGCAGAUUACACCGUGAAGAACACGACUUGUCUUUCGCUCCUAGCUGACGUGUCGGU
ensembl:snoRNA